rnacentral:tRNA from 1 species
GCAGGCAUAGCCAAGUUGGUUUAAGGCGGCGGACUGCAAAUCCGUUAAUCGUCGGUUCAAAUCCGACUGCCUGCU